AUGCUGGGAACCCCCCCUCAGGGGAUCCCUCCUCGCUCCACUUCGUUUUCCCUCCUCGCUCCGCUUCACUUCACUUCACUUCGCUUCAUUUUCCCCUUGUUUCGUUUCACUUUCUCUUCCCACUCCCCUUUUCCUGUCCCUCUUGGCUUUUCCCCUCAGGACCCUCUCCCCCCCCCCCCCCCCCCCCCUCCCUCACCCCCGGCCGCCUCCUGCCGCCCGCCAUGGGGGCCUGGAGCCCGGCCCGGCCAUGAAGGGCGGCGGGGGGACCCGUUCCCACCUUCUGCCCGCCGCCAGGGGAGCACCGCGACGCCCGGGGACCGGCGGGGCUCCUCCUCGCAGUGGCUCCUGGACAAGGCAGCAAGCACCCCGUGGGCGAGCCGUGCCGGGUGCCCGCGGGGUGCAGUCCCUGGCGUUGCUUUCUCUUCGCUUUCUCCUCCUCGUCCGCAGGGCGAGCGCGCUCCCUGCGCCAGGCGCAGCCUUCCCGGCGGAGCUGCGCCUCCGUGCUUUCGCCCGGCCUGUUUAUUUUUAGGGGCUUUAGCGCCUGUUUGCGGAGAGGAGUUGUUCCAUCGUCAUGGCAACCCGGCUGCGUGUCUCAUAAACAUUAUUCGAGGGAACCUUUUCCAGCUCGAUCGAGGCUUCCUUUCCGUAACGAGGUUAGGAUCGAUGUGAAACGCCGAGCCUGUUGCUCGUGGUGCAGGGACACGGCCUCUUGUUCCUUGACGCGGAUGCUUUUACCCUCAGCCGGUUCCAUCUGCUGCUGGUAAACGUUCCCCGCAGCCUCUGCGAUGGCAGAGGAGGAGGAAAAGCAAAGUGUAAUCCACCGAAAGAGGAGCUCUCAUACAAUUACUUCAUGGCUUAUUAGAGGCAGUCACAUCAGCGUUAGAAACAAACCAAGUGCCAGAUAAAAAAAAAUGGAGUGUCUUUGAAGUUUGCCAUUCUUUUCUUUCCCUGACCGUUCCCAUGCUACCAAAAGGUGGGGAAGGCUAGAAAAUGCUAACUCGGGACACACAGUGCUCCUUUCUCAGACAGGAGUUAAAAAGAUGAAACAAACUGCUCCUAAACCCCAAAAUAUUUGCUAAUACCUCAAUUUCGUAUAAACUCACAGCUUGAUUUUCGAGCCAAGAGCGGAGAAUUUAUUGCAGCGUUUGUUUAAAGUAAAUAUGCCUGUCAGACUUGGAGAGGGAUUAGGCAAUGAAAACUGUGGAGCAGCUCUUAUCAUGAGGACAUCCUCCAGCGUUUCCUUCCAAGGAGCUUCCUGCCCUGAUAACCACGGCUUCUCCUUCAGAACGAGCUGAUUUUCCUGACUGCCUGGGAAACAACAGCGCCGUGAAUGCCAGGGCCAAGGGGA
rnacentral:lncRNA from 1 species